rnacentral:rRNA from 1 species
GAUGAACGCUGACAGAAUGCUUAACACAUGCAAGUCUUUGGCGAAGCUGUGCUUGCACAGCCUAGCCAAGGCGGACGGGUGAGUAACGCGUAAGGAACUUGCCCUGCAGUCAGGGAUAACAGACGGAAACGACUGAUAAGACCUGGUAAAGUCAGGCGGACUCAUGUCCAGCCUGAUGAAAAGAGAUGCUGCAGGAGAGCCUUGCGUCCUAUUAGCUUGUUGGUGGGGUAACGGCCCACCAAGGCGAUGAUAGGUAGCCGGCCUGAGAGGGUGGACGGCCACAAGGGGACUGAGAUACGGCCCUUACUCCCACGGGAGGCAGCAGUGGGGAAUAUUGGACAAUGGGGGCAACCCUGAUCCAGCAAUUCUGUGUGCACGAUGAAGGUUUUCGGAUUGUAAAGUGCUUUCAGCAGGGAAGAAAAAAAUGACGGUACCUGCAGAAGAAGCGACGGCUAAAUACGUG